GACGAACGCUGGCGGCGUGCUUAACACAUGCAAGUCGAACGGUAAGGCCCUUCGGGGUACACGAGUGGCGAACGGGUGAGUAACACGUGGGUGAUCUGCCCUGCACUUCGGGAUAAGCCUGGGAAAAUGGGUCUAAUACCGGAUAGGACUCCGGACUGAAUGGUCGGGGGUGGCAAGCUUUUGCGGUGUGGGAUGGGCCCGCGGCCUAUCAGCUUGUUGGUGGGGUGAUGGCCUACCAAGGCGACGACGGGUAGCCGGCCUGAGAGGGUGACCGGCCACACUGGGACUGAGAUACGGCCCAGACUCCUACGGGAGGCAGCAGUGGGGAAUAUUGCACAAUGGGCGCAAGCCUGAUGCAGCGACGCCGCGUGAGGGAUGACGGCCUUCGGGUUGUAAACCUCUUUCAGCAUCGACGAAGCAAAAGUGACGGUAGGUGCAGAAGAAGGACCGGCCAACUACGUGCCAGCCGCCGCUGUAA
rnacentral:rRNA from 1 species